rnacentral:rRNA from 1 species
UACGGGGGGGCGAAGCGUUGUUCGGAAUUACUGGGCGUAAAAGGGCUCGUAGGUGGCCAACUUAAGUCAGACGUGAAAAUCCCUCGGCUUAACCGGGGAACUGCGUCUGAUACUGGAGUGGCUUGAGUUUUGGGGAGAGGGGAUGCGGAAUUCCAGGUGUAGCGGUGAAAUGCGUAGAUAUCUGGAGGAACACCGGUGCGAAGGCGGCAUCCGUGGACCAACACGUCGAACACUGAGGAGCGAAAGCCAGGGGAGACAAACGGGAGUUAGAAAACCCCUGGCAGACCCA